GAUGAACGCUGGCGGCGUGCCUAAUACAUGCAAGUCGAGCGAACGGACGAGAAGCUUGCUUCUCUGAUGUUAGCGGCGGACGGGUGAGUAACACGUGGAUAACCUACCUAUAAGACUGGGAUAACUUCGGGAAACCGGAGCUAAUACCGGAUAAUAUUUUGAACCGCAUGGUUCAAAAGUGAAAGACGGUCUUGCUGUCACUUAUAGAUGGAUCCGCGCUGCAUUAGCUAGUUGGUAAGGUAACGGCUUACCAAGGCAACGAUGCAUAGCCGACCUGAGAGGGGGAUCGGCCCCACUGAACCUGAGAACCGGUCCAACCCCUAAGGGAGGGAGGAGGGGGGAAUUUUUCCCAAUGGGGGAAAAGCCGAACGGGGCAACGCGGGGGGGUGAAGGAGGUUUUUCGAUUGGAAAACCUUUUUAAUUGGGAAAAAAAAUAUGUGUAAGUAACUGUGCACUUUUGGCGGGACCCAAAGAAGAAGGCCCGGCUAACUUCGGG
rnacentral:rRNA from 1 species